GUUCCCAAAAGGGAGAGCAGGAACAGCCUCAGUCAUGGGAUAAUUCAGGUUAGGGGAGAGCUGGCUGGCAAAGCUCUGCCUCCCUAUCUCUACCCUUUCCUGCUUUCCUAUCGCUUCCAAGUCCCAUAUUUCUCAGGUAUUUCAGCUGAUUUAUCAUCCUGGAUUGACUUUUCUUCCCGUUUAUUUCCUGCAUUUCCAGCACACAUCCAUCAGAAGCCUGUGGAAACCAAAAGCAGUUUUAGGAACUAAGAAGAGCUAGCCAAGAAACAGAAACCAGCCAAACACCACCCCAUAUAAGGAAGGCAAGAGCUCCGAGGUCAAGAGUACAGGCCUGAGGAAGACCUCAAGCCUUCAUCCAGCGACCACCAGAGGGUAGAAAACGACCCCCUAGCAACAACUGGAGCAUGCGCCAAGGGAAGAACACGUCUACGGAAAUGGACUAGUAUAAAAAGGGGACUUGUGAGACACUGGGUGCGGCAGUUGGUGGAGUUGGACUCCCCUGUCGCCCAGCGCUGCUUUGCUUAUUACCUAUGCUUGCUGUAAUUAAUAAAUUCCAAUUGGACAACUUAA